UAGGAAAUCUAAAAACCUAUCCUUGGAUUCCUUUUAAAACCCAUCCCAUGCACUUCUCUGCAUUAUUCCACUUUCAGCUAUCCCAUCCCUUCUUUAUUUUCUGUUCCCUCAAUCAGAAAAGCAUCUCUCUCUCUCUCUCUUCUCCCUCUCCCACGCCACAUUUCUUCUUCUUCUUCUUCUUCAUCUCUGCAACCUUCACAAAACAUACCAAAACUCACAAACAUGAAAAACAAAUUACACCAUUGUGAUCAUCUCAGUCCCACGAUCACAACCAUGUCCUUGAAAUCUGGUGUGGACGAGUUUUGACUCACCAACUCGGAAGGUCGACUCAGUGAGUUCGACAUAUCGAUUUUCAGGCCAUGCAUGGCUUAGGACCUAGAUAGCUGUACUCUCUGUGGCACUCGAGGAAUCACGGCAGUUCUAACAUUUCCUUCUGUUUAGACGUACAAACUUAUCACUAUUAUGUAAUAAGUGUACUUUGGCUGCUUUGACUACUCUUUCGUAGUCUCACUGUCUAUUACGCUCUGAAUAAUUGUAGUGGGUUCAACCCACGAAUUGCACACUC